rnacentral:rRNA from 1 species
UACGUAGGGUGCAAGCGUUGUCCGGAAUUAUUGGGCGUAAAGAGCUCGUAGGCGGUCCGUCACGUCGGCUGUGAAAACCUGGGGCUCAACCCCCGGGCCUGCAGCCGAUACGGGCGGACUAGAAUUCGGUAGGGGAGACUGGAAUUCCUGGUGUAGCGGUGAAAUGCGCAGAUAUCAGGAGGAACACCGGUGGCGAAGGCGGGUCUCUGGGCCGAUAUUGACGCUGAGGAGCGAAAGCGUGGGGAGCGAACAGG